rnacentral:antisense_RNA from 1 species
GGUAGCCAAAGAUUACCAACGGGUUGAGGGUAGGAUUGUUGAUGAUACGAACGUCACCACCACCAGGAGCCCAAGUAUCGUAGACACCGCCAAGGAACAUGGCUUUGAAUACGAGUAAAAGGGCACCGCAGCCCAACAGAAUCAGGUGAUAACCGAUGAUGUUGGUCAUUUGGUUUUUAUCUUUCCA